rnacentral:lncRNA from 1 species
UAUAUGAAGAGGAGUUUUGGGCUACCACUUAGAAAGGAAAAGCCUCAUUCGUCAACUCCUUCGACCAGAGACUUGGGGGACACUUACCAUAUCCUACUGCACCUUGAUACUCAGAAGUCUCACAACCACUCAGUGACUUGGAUUUUUCAAGUCUCCAACUGAGAAGUUUUCCUCACUCGGGAAAUUAAGGAAGCACUACCUCAACAUACAUGCUUCACUCUCAAAGGUUCAACAUACAAGCUUCAACAAAAGAAAAAAUUUAUAGAACUUAGUGAAGAAGGCCUUGGUGUAUUUAACACAAUACGUUGAAAUGAAGCAAAGCUUGUUUAUUGAUAUCUCUGAUAAGUUACAAAUAUGUACAUAUACAUGAAUCAAAAUAAACAAACAAGAGGGAGCCUUCACAAAGGUUGAUCAUGAAAAGUCUCAGCGGUCGGCAGAGCCCCAGAAAGAGUAGGCACCGGAUGGUGAUCAUUCGGAGCCUUAGUACUGGGCAGAACCCCAGAAGGAGGCGGUACCGAAGGUUGUGUUGGAAGUAUGCCCACAAAGCCACUCAUUUGAUGUAAUAGCUUUUGGAAUACUUAUUGUAUUAAACUU